ACUUCAAAAAGUCCAGUGUUGAAGCAGUUCUGAAUUGAGAUCUCAUAAUUCCCAAGGACAUAGCAAUGAGGCCCAUCCAGCAACACACAAAGAAGAACAGCCUUUACAGGCUAGGAUCCACUACAUAUAGGAAUCUCUUUCAUUGAAAUCAACAGAGCUCAAGAGCGCCUGCAUUUGGAGAAGAGCCUGGGAAACAGCUGUUCAAGCACUGGGUGCAUUCUAGUCUCAGCCACAGAGUUUUCCUACUUGUGGAUGUCAUGGUGUGCUACUUGGAUCUCAUAGCUGAACUCCUUCCAAGAAUUGCCUUAAGUCGUUGGGAGCCACCUUGCCUGAGUUUAUGGCUCCAGGUGAAGAUGAAACAGCUGUGGAAGUGUCAUCCAAGAUUGGCCAGAGGGACCCUCAUAUCCCCAGGACCUGCUGCAGAAGUCAUUUCUCACAGACUUAAGUUGCCUCUGAUCUGUCCGCUAUCCCACUUAGAGAGCAGAAGUCAAAAGGAAAGAGAGAGAGAAGCCACUGUAACAAAAACAUUCUGUAUUUUAAAGUCAGAAGCAAAUAUCUUUAUAUCCUUUUUCUUUUUUUAAGAUGUUGAUAAGAACACAACAUGAGAUCUAUCCUCUUCAUAAAUUUGUAAUAAAUAAAUAAUUAUUUACUUAUAUUUUAUUUAUUUAUAUAUAAUAUAUACUAUUUAUUUAUAAAUACUCUUCAUAAAUUUGUAACAAUACAGUAUUGUUAACUAUAGAUAAAAUGUUGUAUAGCAGAUCUUGCAUAACUGAAGUUUUUUGUUUUUUUUUUUUGAGACAGAAUCUCACUCUUUCCCCAGGCUGAAGUGCAGUGGUGCUAUCAUAGCUCACUGUAACCUUGAACUUCUGGGAUAAAGCAAUCCUCCCACCUCAACCUCCCAAAGAACUGGGAUUGCAAGUGUGACUGUAACUAGCCACAUAAUGGAGACUUUAUACCCUUUGAGCAACCCACCGUUGACCCCUCCCCCUUCCCCUAGCAACCAUCAUUCCCUCUCUAUUUCUAUGAGUUUGGCUAUUUUAGAUACUUUAUAAAACUGGAAUCAAGUGUAUUUGUCCUUCUGUAAUUGGCUUCUUUCACUGAGCAUAAUGUCCUGCAGGUUCAUCCAUGUUGUUGCAUAUGGCAGAGUUUUCUUCUUAAAGGUAGACAGUAUUCUAAGAGGUUUCAGCUUCUGAUUUUUCCUCUGUCCAGCCUAUGCAGCAGAGCAAGAGAAAGGAAGAGGGAGAGGAAAAGAGAGAGGAGCCAAUGAAACAUAAACAUUCUGUGACUAUUUUUAAGUCAAGAGUGAAUGUUUUUAUUUAUUUUUAAAUAAAACUGAAAAACACCUCUAAAACCCUUGGAAGGUUCAUGAUUAUCUGCCGACCAGUGUUUGUUUCAUUCAUGAAGUAUUUAACUAAGUCCACACCCAAGAGAAAUCUUUAAAGGGCACUCCAGAAUGUGUGUAACUCUGCCAUUAGAGGGCUAGUUUGACUUGGCCAGGCAGCCACAUGAAUUCCUUCCUUCAUUCAUUGAUAGGCUUAUUAUUUCAAUAUACAUUUGUGAGGCACCUGCUAUAUGCUAGACCCUAGCAAGCAUAUUGACUGGCUUAUAGUGUACAUACUGGUGGCUGGAUAUGAAGAGUGAAUUUAAUUCUCUAUGCAGUCACAGAUGUCAUUUUGUCAUUUCUGUCUUUCCCCAUACAUUCUGCUUUGCCAUCUCUCUGGUGCUCCAUGCCACAGGAGGCUCACUUUAGAUCAUCUGGACUCUCUUUUCUUGUGGCUUCAUGGAUUUGGCCAGUUGGUGAUUAAAAGCCAGGAGGAAAGACAUGUUGAAGUCUUUAUUCCUUCAACUCUCUGCUUGCUGGGCCAGAGAUUGCUAGUAGCUGAAUUUUUCUGCUGAAACUCACACCCCUGCCAGGCUGCCCCUUUCUCAUGGCUACCUUUUGCUGCAUGAGAAAUAAUGUUAUUUCUAUAGAUGGUUAUAAUUAUUUGAGCUUCUUUAUAUCACAUAUAAAUCUACUAAGAUUGCAAAUAAGAUUUUUUAUUGGCAUGUGAUUUAAAUUACAAGAUAAAUAUUUUUUAACUGUUGUUUUUUUGUUACAAGAAACAUUAACACUAAAAUGGAAACUUAAUUGUGAAUUCCUUAUUUCCUGUUUGUUUACUUCAUGAUUUUUGUCAUUUUAGAUGUAGUUGAAGGCUCUAAAUAUUAGUAAUAAGGUCAAAUGUAUAACUAUAAAUAAUAUGCUUUAAAAUCUUAUUUUUAAUUGAAGAAGAAUAAUUGCGUGUAUUUAUCAGGCAAAAUGUGAUGUUUUGAUAUAUGUUUAUAAUAUGGAAUGAUUAAAUUAGGCUAAUUAACACAUCUAGAACUCACAUAUUUACUAUUUAUUGUGGGAAAAAUCUUCAAAAUUGACUUACUUAACAAUUUUAAAAUAUGAAAUGCAUUAUUGUUUAUUAUAGUCACCAUUCUAUGCAAUAGUUCACUAAACACAGAGCCAAAUCAUAUCAAAUCCUUAUUGCAUGCACGUUUAAGGGUGCUGAGAACACAACAGUAGACAAAAUAAUAAAUAUACCUGCUCUUAGGGAGUUUAUGUUCUAGCCGUAGGAGGAAGACAAAACGCAUAAAAAAUGUUUGUGAGAAUGUUAUACAUACUAUGGAAGUCAAUAAAGAAGGAAGGGUAGAGGGUGCUCAGUGGUGAUGGAUUUUCAGUUUCAACUUGAUUGUAGUAAAACUAUAGAGCUACAUGAACUGAUGCUAAAGGGAAUGCUUUUAACAUUUUAACUUUAUGUGUGAUAUUUGCUAUCGGAUUUUGUAGAUACAUUUUAUCAGAUUUAGGAUAUUUUUCUUUUUUCCCUGUUUAAUGCUUAAAAAAACCACACAAAUAGAUGUUGAAUUUUACCCAGUGAUUUUUGUUUUCAUCUAUUGAGAUGAUCAUAAUGUUUUUAUACUGUUAAUGUGGUAAAUUAUAUUGAUUUAUUUUCUAAUGUUAAACCAAGAAAGAGCAUUUAUGGAAAUAGUCCAAUGUGUGUGUGGUAUUUUAUCAAUUUUUUUAUAUCGAUGGGAUUUGUUUGCUAAUAUUUUAUUUAGAAUUUUAACCUCUAAUUUUGUAAGAGAGAUUGACCUGUAUUUUUCCUUUCUUAUAACAUCCUUGCUCGGUCUUAUUUUCAAGGCAUGUUGACCUCAUAAAAUUAGUUGAGAAAUGUUUAUUCAUUUUUAUUUACUAAAAUAAAUAAACAUUUAUUUUUAUGAAGUUGGAAUUAUUUCUUAUUUUUAUAACAGCUUUAUUG
ensembl:lncRNA